rnacentral:rRNA from 1 species
ACGAACGCUGGCGGCACGCUUAACACAUGCAAGUCGAACGAGAGAAGAGAAGCUUGCUUUUCUGAUCUAGUGGCGGACGGGUGAGUAACACGUGAGCAAUCUGCCUUUCAGAGGGGGAUACCGAUUGGAAACGAUCGUUAAUACCGCAUAAUAUAAUUGAACCGCAUGAUUUGAUUAUCAAAGAUUUAUCGCUGAAAGAUGAGCUCGCGUCUGAUUAGCUAGUUGGUAAGGUAACGGCUUACCAAGGCGACGAUCAGUAGCCGGACUGAGAGGUUGAUCGGCCACAUUGGGACUGAGACACGGCCCAGACUCCUACGGGAGGCAGCAGUGGGGAAUAUUGCACAAUGGAGGAAACUCUGAUGCAGCGAUGCCGCGUGAGGGAAGAAGGUUUUAGGAUUGUAAACCUCUGUCUUCAGGGACGAAAAAUGACGGUACCUGAGGAGGAAGCUCCGGCUAACUACGUGCCAGCAGCCGCGGUAAUACGUAGGGAGCGAGCGUUGUCCGGAAUUACUGGGUGUAAAGGGAGCGUAGGCGGGAUCGCAAGUCAGAUGUGAAAACUAUGGGCUUAACCCAUAAACUGCAUUUGAAACUGUGGUUCUUGAGUGAAGUAGAGGUAAGCGGAAUUCCUAGUGUAGCGGUGAAAUGCGUAGAUAUUAGGAGGAACAUCAGUGGCGAAGGCGGCUUACUGGGCUUUAACUGACGCUGAGGCUCGAAAGCGUGGGGAGCAAACAGGAUUAGAUACCCUGGUAGUCCACACCGUAAACGAUGAUUACUAGGUGUGGGGGGACUGACCCCUUCCGUGCCGCAGCAAACGCAAUAAGUAAUCCACCUGGGGAGUACGACCGCAAGGUUGAAACUCAAAGGAAUUGACGGGGGCCCGCACAAGCAGUGGAGUAUGUGGAUUAAUUCGAAGCAACGCGAAGAACCUUACCAGGUCUUGACAUCGUAUGCAUAGCUCAGAGAUGAGUGAAAUCUCUUCGGAGACAUAUAGACAGGUGGUGCAUGGUUGUCGUCAGCUCGUGUCGUGAGAUGUUGGGUUAAGUCCCGCAACGAGCGCAACCCUUACUGUUAGUUGCUACGCAAGAGCACUCUAGCAGGACUGCCGUUGACAAAACGGAGGAAGGUGGGGAUGACGUCAAAUCAUCAUGCCCCUUAUGACCUGGGCCUCACACGUACUACAAUGGCUGUCAACAGAGGGAAGCAAAGCCGCGAGGUGGAGCAAACCCCUAAAAGCAGUCUUAGUUCGGAUUGUAGGCUGCAACCCGCCUACAUGAAGUCGGAAUUGCUAGUAAUCGCAGAUCAGCAUGCUGCGGUGAAUACGUUCCCGGGCCUUGUACACACCGCCCGUCACGCCAUGGGAGUCGGUAACACCCGAAGCCUGUAGUCUAACCGCAAGGAGGACGCAGUCGAAGGUGGGAUUGAUGACUGGGGUG